rnacentral:siRNA from 1 species
GCUAAUUGUCUUGCGGACGGA